UAGAAUCCCAAAUUGGCCCCAAAUUCCGUUAGUCUGAUACAUCUUACUGAGAAUUGUUCUUCAACUCCAUAACGAAGAGGUAGAGAGAGCUUGCGGGGAUGAGAGGGAUACGAAGAUUGCUUGGACGAAGUCUUUCGUCUCACACAAGAUGCCAACCUCCUCGGCAUCGCAAUGGCACCCAGUUCAUCUCUCGCCGAACCUAUUUCCUAUCUGCUUAUUCAGCUCCCACGACGUCGUACCUGGCUCACAACAACUCCCCCUUUUCCGAUGCAUCUCCUUUCAAUUCUCUGAAAUGGGGCCUUCUCGGCGGGCAGAAGAGAAGCAUGUUUAUCCAAACUCAAUCCACACCCAACCCUGCAUCUCUAAUGUUUUAUCCUGGGAAGCCCGUUAUGGAAGUUGGCAGUGCAGACUUCCCGAAUGCUCGUUCGGCCAUGAAUUCACCACUUGCCAAAGCCCUUUAUGGAAUUGAUGGAGUCACUCGAGUGUUUUAUGGAUCAGAUUUCGUUACUGUAACAAAAUCUGAAGAUACUUCUUGGGAUCUAUUGAAGCCUGAAAUCUUUGCUGCAAUCAUGGAUUUUUAUUCUUCUGGGCAGCCACUCUUUCUAGACGAAAAAACUGCAUCAGCAAUGGACACAGCUAUUCAAGAAGAUGAUUCAGAAAUCGUUGCAAUGAUAAAAGAAUUGUUGGAGACUCGCAUUCGACCAGCAGUGCAAGAUGAUGGUGGGGACAUUGAGUAUAGGGGAUUUGAUCCAGAAACUGGAACAGUGAAAUUGAGAAUGCAAGGAGCGUGUAGUGGCUGCCCAAGCUCAUCAGUCACCCUGAAAUCUGGAAUUGAGAAUAUGCUCAUGCACUAUGUACCUGAGGUCAAAAGUGUAGAGGAAGAGCUAGAUCCUGAUGACGAAAAUGCAGCUCUAACAGGUCAGAUGGAGUAGGAGUUUAAAAUUUUGUGCUCGAGCGGUAAAUGGUGAGCUAAAGCAGGGACUUCGGGGAGCUGUUAUUGCGUUCGGAGAUAAUUUGCGUUGCCUACUCGAUGCUAUCAUUCUGGUCCCUACUUGAGCGAUCGUUCCGGUCCCUACUUGAGAUUCUAUCGUCGUUUCCUAAUGUGCCGAGGUUGGGGUUCGGUGAUGGAGCGAAGAAGGGGUGCUGGCAGUGGUUUGAUCACGGCUGAGGGCUGGGGCAGUGCGGGAGUUUAGGGUACCUUUACAACUUUUAAACAGAAAAUUAAGACGGAAUAUGAUGGGUGCGGCAAAUUUCUCUUUUUUUGUUUCUCUAUGCAUGAAUGUUCCAUCAUUCCCGCAUCUGUUCUUGUUAAUCCACACACCAAAACACACGAGCCUCGCACGUCCUGUACCGUGCCUUGGCCUCGAGUGUGUCUUGUUAUACGAAUUACCACCCAUGACACAUUCGUUCA